rnacentral:rRNA from 1 species
AACGAACGCUGGCGGCAGGCUUAACACAUGCAAGUCGAGCGCCCCGCAAGGGGAGCGGCAGACGGGUGAGUAACGCGUGGGAAUCUACCCUUUUCUACGGAAUAACGCAUGGAAACGUGUGCUAAUACCGUAUGAGCCCUUCGGGGGAAAGAUUUAUCGGGAAAGGAUGAGCCCGCGUUGGAUUAGCUAGUUGGUGGGGUAAAGGCCUACCAAGGCGACGAUCCAUAGCUGGUCUGAGAGGAUGAUCAGCCACAUUGGGACUGAGACACGGCCCAAACUCCUACGGGAGGCAGCAGUGGGGAAUAUUGGACAAUGGGCGCAAGCCUGAUCCAGCCAUGCCGCGUGAGUGAUGAAGGCCCUAGGGUUGUAAAGCUCUUUCACCGGUGAAGAUAAUGACGGUAACCGGAGAAGAAGCCCCGGCUAACUUCGUGCCAGCCGCCGCAGUAACAC